rnacentral:rRNA from 1 species
GACGAACGCUGGCGGCGUGCCUAAUACAUGCAAGUCGUGCGGACCUUGUUGAAAGCUUGCUUUUAAAAGGUUAGCGGCGGACGGGUGAGUAACACGUGGGCAACCUGCCUGUAAGACUGGGAUAACGCCGGGCAACCGGGGCUAAUACCAGAUCGUUUUUUCCUCCGCAUGGAGGAAAAAGGAAAGGCGGCUUCGGCUGCCACUUACCGGUGGGUCCGCGGCGCAUUAGCUAGUUGGCGGGGUAAUGGCCCACCAAGGCAGCGGUGCGUAUCCGACCGGAGAGGACGAUCGGCCACAUUGGGACUGAGACACGGCCCAAACGCCUACGGGAGGCAGCAGUAGGGAAUCUGCCGCAAUGGGCGAAAGUCUGACGGAGCAACGCCGCGUGAGUGAAGAAGGCCUUCGGGUCGUAAAACUCUGUUGCCGGGGAAGAACAAGUGCCGUUCGAACAGGGCGGCGCCGUGACGGUACCCGGCCAGAAAGCCACGGCUAACUACGUG